GACGAACGCUGGCGGCGUGCCUAAUACAUGCAAGUAGAACGCUGAAGCGAGGAGCUUGCUCUUCUUGGAUGAGUUGCGCACGGGUGAGUAACGCGUAGGUAACCUGCCUUGUAGCGGGGGAUAACUAUUGGAAACGAUAGCUAAUACCGCAUAACAAUGGAUGACACAUGUCAUUUAUGUGAAAGGGGCAAUUGCUCCACUACAAGAUGGACCUGCGUUGUAUUAGCUAGUAGGUGAGGUAAUGGCGCACCUAGGCGACGAUACAUAGCCGCCCCGAGAGGGUGAUCGGCCACACUGGGACUGAGACACGGCCCAGACUCCUACAGGAGGCAGCAGUAGGGAAUCUGGGGCAAUGGGGGCAACACUGACCGAGCAACGCCGCGGGAGGGAAGAAGGUUUUCGGAUCGUAAAGGUCGGUUGUAAGUCAAGAACGGGUGUGAGAGUGGAAAGAUCACACUGUGACGGUAGCUGACCAGAAAGGGACGGCUAACUACGUG
rnacentral:rRNA from 1 species